rnacentral:rRNA from 1 species
UACAGAGGUCCCAAGCGUUGUUCGGAUUUACUGGGCGUAAAGGGUGCGUAGGUGGUGAGGUAAGUCUGAUGUGAAAUCUCCGAGCUUAACUCGGAAAUGGCAUUGGAAACUACCUUGCUAGAGGGUUGGAGGGGGGACUGGAAUACUUGGUGUAGCAGUGAAAUGCGUAGAUAUCAAGUGGAACACCAGUGGCGAAGGCGAGUCCCUGGACAACUCCUGACGCUGACACGCGAAAGCUAGGGGAGCGAACGGG